UGUUUAGUACAAGUAUGUUUCAUGUAAUAUUUAGAACAUACUUAUACUAAAA
rnacentral:pre_miRNA from 1 species